GGUCACAUUGCAAUUUUAAAUGAAGCAUACCUUAUUUUUAUACGACCGCAAAAAUUUAAAUUUUUUGGUCGUAUAUUGCUAUUACGUUGGCGUCGUCGUCGUCGUCGUCCGAAUACUUUUAGUUUUCGCACUUUACCUUUAGUAAAAGUGAAUAGAAAUCAAUGAAAUUUUAACACAAGGUUUAUGACCACAAAAGGAAGGUUGGGAUUGAUUUUGGGAGUUUUGGUCCCAACAUUUUAGGAAUUAGGGGCCAAAAAGGGCCCAAAUAAGCAUUUUCUUGGUUUUCGCACUAUAACUUUAGUUUAAGUGAAUAGAAAUCUAUGAAAUUUUGACACAAGGUUUAUGACCACAAAAGGAAGGUUGGGAUUGAUUUUGGGAGUUUUGGUUCCAACAGUUUAGGAAUUAGGGGCCAAAAAGGGCCCAAAUAAGCAUUAUUCUUGGUUUUCGCACAAUAACUUUAGUAUAAGUAAAUAGAAAUCAAUGAAAUUUUAACACAAGGUUUAUGACCACAAAAGGAAGGUUGGGAUUGAUUUUUGGAGUUGAGGUCACAAUAGUUUAUGAAUUAGGGGCCAAAAAGGGGCCCAAAUAAGCAUUAUUUUUGGUUUUGCACCAUAACUUUAGUAUAAGUAAAUAGAAAUCUAUGAAAUUUAAACACAAGGUUUAUGACCAUAAAAGGAAAGUUGGGUUUGAUUUUGGG
rnacentral:lncRNA from 1 species